UUUGACAGAAGCCAAAACCAGAGGCAUAUUACUGUUAAUGAUAAAAUUGAAUUUUUUCCUGUUAA